rnacentral:misc_RNA from 1 species
CACCCAGCUGCUUUGACAACCAAAAAGUAUGGUGUGAACAAGAUGGAGCUAUGUAAAGCUUGCUUCUCGAGAGAAUUUCUACUUAUGAAGAGAAACUCAUUUUUCUAUAUCUUCAAGUUCUGUCAACUGACAAUAUUGGCAUUGAUUACAAUGACACUUUUUCUCCGGACUGAGAUGCACCGAGAUUCAGUAAUUGAUGGAGGAAUUUACGCGGGUGCUUUAUUCUUCAUCGUGAUUACGGUAUUGUUCAAUGGCUUGGCAGAAAUUUCCAUGACCAUUGCAAAGCUUCCUGUCUUCUACAAGCAAAGAGACCUCCGUUUCUAUCCUGCUUGGGCUUAUGCUCUUCCCACAUGGAUCCUUAAAAUCCCCAUCACAUUCAUAGAAGUUGGAAUUUUGGUAUUCAUGAUAUAUUAUGUCAUUGGAUUUGAUCCAAAUGUUGGAAGGUUGUUUAGGCAUUACCUUGUGCUCUUAAUUGUUAACCAGAUGGCUUCUGGAUUAUUCCGAUUUAUUGCUGCAGUUGGCAGGAACAUGAUUAUAGCCAACACCUUUGGUGCAUUCAUACUGCUGCUGCUUUUCGUUUUGGGUGGAUUUAUCUUGUCACGAGAUGACAUAAAGAAAUGGUGGUUAUGGGGUUACUGGGCAUCCCCACUGAUGUAUGGGCAAAAUGCAAUUGUAGUUAAUGAAUUCCUUGGACAUAGUUGGAGUCAUGUUCUCCAAAAUUCAACAGAACCAUUAGGAGUUCAAGUUUUAAAAUCUCGUGGGUUCUUCACAGAAGCAUAUUGGUACUGGCUAGGACUAGGGGCACUGUGCGGAUUCACAUUAUUAUUCAACUUCUUAUACACUGCGGCUCUCACUUUUCUCAAUGGUAAAUACCUUUACAACUGUCAUGCUCUUUAAAAGCAAGCGCUUGUGUUAUAUUGUUGUUUAAUUAACUACUAUGCAGAAUUUAGCAAUCCUCAGGCUGUUACUUCAAAAGAACCUGAAGAAAAUGAAACUGGUGGAAUGGAAGAUGGUAUUCAUUUGAGUUGCCAUAGGAGUAGCUUUAAUCAACAAACAAACACAGGUGGCAAUGCCCGUUAUGAAUGUGCGCCUAUGUGUACGUCAUUUAAUUCUUUGCUUUCUAAAUACUAAUCAAAUUUUUGCUGAUAUGCAGACUGUGGAUAUGAAAUUAGAAGAGGGAAGUCACCCAGGUCUUCACAGAACAACCACAAAAAAGGAAUGGUUCUUCCAU